GCUCGAAUUGCUCUGAAACUCGAUGCAGUGGUCAGUGGAUGGAUGACGGAAACCUUGCAGAAGGAUGGUACAGAUUUAGCAGUCAUGGCAAUGUGAAGAUUCCCGAAACCUCGGUUCCAUUCUUUCACUGCUCUACAUGGAGUCCAGGCUGGUUAAAAGAUCCCCAUCCUGAUGUGGGAGCAGGCGAAGUGACCAGGACCAUCUGUUUCAACUGGG